UCCGUAGGCGGACUGAAAAGUCAGAUGUAAAAGUCCUAGGCUCAACCUGGGGAUGCCAUUUGAAACUGUUAGUCUAGAGUAUAGGAGAGGAAAGGGGAAUUUCUGGUGUAGCGGUGAAAUGCGCAGAUAUCAGAAGGAACACCAAUGGCGAAGGCAACUUUCUGGCCUAAUACUGACGCUGAGGGACGAAAGCAUGGUUAGCGAACA
rnacentral:rRNA from 1 species